rnacentral:rRNA from 1 species
CCUACGGGAGACAGCAGUGAGGAAUAUUGGUCAAUGGGCGCGAGCCUGAUGCAGCCAAGUAGCGUGAAGGAUGGCUGCCCUACGGGUUGUAAACUUCUUUUAUAAAGGAAUAAAGUGAGGCACGUGUGCCUUUUUGUAUGUACUUUAUGAAUAAGGAUCGGCUAACUCCGUGCCAGCAGCCGCGGUAAUACGGAGGGUCCGAGCGUUAUCCGGAUGUAUUGGGUUUAAAGGGAGCGUAGAUGGGUUGUUAAGUCAGUUGUGAAAGGUUGCGGCUCAACCGUAAAAUUGCAAUUGAUACUGGCAGUCUUGAGUACAGGUGAGGUAGGCGGAAUUCGUGGUGUAGCGGUGAAAUGCUUAGAUAUCACGAAGAACUCCGAUUGCGAAGGCAGCUUACUAAACUGCCACUGACAUUGAUGCUCGAAAGUGUGGGUAUCAAACAGGAUUAGAUACCCGGGUAGUC